UAGGGAAUCUUCGGCAAUGGACGAAAGUCUGACCGAGCAACGCCGCGUGAGUGAAGAAGGUUUUCGGAUCGUAAAACUCUGUUGUUAGAGAAGAACAAGGACGUUAGUAACUCAACGUCCCCUGACGGUAUCUAACCAGAAAGCCACGGCUAACUACAUGCCAGCAGCCGCGGUAAUACGUAGGUGGCAAGCGUUGUCCGGAUUUAUUGGGCGUAAAGCGAGCGCAGGCGGUUUCUUAAGUCUGAUGUGAAAGCCCCCGGCUCAACCGGGGAGGGUCAUUGGAAACUGGGAGACUUGAGUGCAGAAGAGGAGAGUGGAAUUCCAUGUGUAGCGGUGAAAUGCGUAGAUAUAUGGAGGAACACCAGUGGCGAAGGCGGCUCUCUGGUCUGUAACUGACGCUGAGGCUCGAAAGCGUGGGGAGCAAACAGG
rnacentral:rRNA from 1 species